CCUCCUCACAUCUAUGGACACUCUUCCUGCCAUCAGCGUGGUGUCCAGUUGUCGUCAUGUUUGUUUACAACUGUUUAGGUCUGCUGGCUCUUUUUUCUCUGACUUCUGCGUCUGAUCCUACCUGUGAAGAGCUUGUCGUGCCUCUGGAUGACCCGAACCUGGUCUCUGGAAAAUGGAUCUUUUACGCUGGAACAUCAGACCAUGAAGAUUUAAUGAAAGAACUUAAAACAGUCAGCAGCUCUUGGGUUGAAUUCACACCGAUCCUCAACAGUAAUGACUUUACAGCACGCUGGGGCGACAAAAUAGCUGGAACAUGCUAUCAUGAGACGGUUAAUCCACUUCAGGGAGCGCUACAAAUGUGGAAUUUUCCCUUACCGUGUCCGGGCACACGCACAAUGUGACAUUUCGAAAGACGUGUCCCGACUGUCUUUUCUGGCUCCAUAACGCUCCGGUGAAGACACCUACUGGGGAACUCCAGAGUGGGAGAAACAUCUACCUGUUUACAAAGAAUGGAACACUAGAUGAUGUUCAACUGGAGGCUGUCAAGAAACAAGCAGCAUGUCACAACUUAACUAAAGAGUUGCACUUUGCAAACAUCACAGAUAUGUGCCCACAAUAGAGCAUCUAACAAGGAAACACGCAGUAGACCUAUGUAGAUAAAUAAAUACAUUAAUAAAUAAUUUAAAAAAUAAAUAAAACCCGGACAAGGGGUGUCCAAACUACA